AGGGUUUGAUUCUGGCUCAGAUUGAACGCUGGCGGCAGGCCUAACACAUGCAAGUCGGGCGGUAACAGGGAGAAGCUUGCUUCUCCGCUGACGAGCGGCGGACGGGUGAGUAAUGUAUGGGGAUCUGCCUGAUGGCGGGGGAUAACUACUGGAAACGGUAGCUAAUACCGCAUAAUGUCUACGGACCAAAGCGGGGGACCUCCGGGCCUCGCGCCAUCAGAUGAACCCAUAUGGGAUUAGCUUGUAGGUGAGGUAACGGCUCACCUAGGCGACGAUCCCUAGCUGGUCUGAGAGGAUGAUCAGCCACACUGGGACUGAGACACGGCCCAG
rnacentral:rRNA from 1 species